CAGACUAGGAUCACAGUCCCUACUACUAUGGGAAGUAUGGAGUUGAGAUGUUAAUAUUCCACAGCUCAUUACUUAUGGAAUGCAGAUUACUACAUCAGAGAACUCAUUCUGUUUGAUUUGUUGAUUUCAAUAACUACAAAAGACUUCAAGAAUAAUAGUUUAUUGUAAAAUCUUUUUUUCUUGCCAAAUGCAUUUAUGUACAUUUCUUGUAGUUUAGAGUUUGAAGGUGUUUGUGUGAUGUCUCUCGAUCAACCACCAAACUUCCCAGCUUGGAAUCCACUUCAGAAUGUGUUUGUUCAAUAACAAAUCUGUAUAUAUAAAUAUUUCUCCUAACUAUGUUUGGUUGUACUUCUGAUAACUUGUAAGUAUUCAACUCUUGUCUAGUGGCAUGCCUUGUGGUCUAGGUUGUGUUAUUCACUAGAAGCUAAGACUGGUUGACAAGAGUUCUACAAGCUGAGAUUGGCUUGACUUUUGGUGAUUUGGAUAGUAUUUUAUUUCAAUGUUGUUCCUUGUAAAUGUUUGAAUAUUUAUAAACAUUUUGAACUGGGAAACAUUCAUUAUUAAAAUACAUUUUAUUCUCUGAACCCAAAAACAUUUUUGUGUUUGUAGCCUAGAAGUAGUGUCAUUCAAACUUAAUCAGAUCACAUGAUUUCUUGGAUCUACUCAAAGGCCACGCUUGAGAUUAUCUUGCUUUAUAAAACAUAAUUCAAACAUAUGUACACAAUUAUUUGUAUAAUA